ACCCAGCUGCCGGCUGUAAGCUCAUGAGUCUUCCUUUCCCCUUCUCGGUUUCUACAGACCAUCAACUCGUAGAUUUACCAAGCCAAAAGAACAUGCGUUUUCGUCUUUUAGGGAUCCCUAGCGGCUGUUCUUUAUACUGAAUCCAAAACUUCUGUAGCACUAUGAAAGGCAACUGAGUCUACUGGUUUGGUGACGAUGACAGUGACCAUGAAGGAGAAGACAAGAUUAUGCUGAAGAAACAUCAAAAACACAGGAGAUACCACUCUCUCAAAGCUGCCUACGGAGAGCACAGUCACACACUCAUUCUCUUUCCUGAACAAAUUUCUUUGAACCUAGCUGCCGAUCUAUUCAGCUCUAUACAGCUCUUAGUACUAACUACUACCAAAGUCAAUUAAGGUGCUUCAAGCCCACCCUUUACAGAGAAGCAAUUCUACCAAUUUUCAGUACAGAUCAUUCACUUAACUUUCUCAUGUACCUCAUCAGAACGUUACUUCUUUUGCUCUCCAAAGGAAUAUUAUAGGAGCACACAUGUAGAUUCACUAAUGCCAAGAACUGCACAUGCGCAAUAGAACAGCUGUAUGGGAGAGUUGCUAUUCUAUCAGCAAAAUCAGGGCAGAACUGACCUAUUUAUCUGUAAGAGUAAAUAGAUCAGAAAAACUCAUUUUCUGUCUCAGCUUUCCUUUUUAAAAAAGGAAAACAAACAACAAAAAAUCCCACAGCCCACAGUCUCCCUUUCACCCUACUGAAAAUUAAAUGCUCUUCACAGAAAAAGGAAACCUCAUUUAUAUUAUAGUAGUAUCAUGUCUAAUUCAGACCACACAUGUGUUUCUAUAUUCAUAUAUAAAUAUACACACAAAUAUGUAUAUAUGCACUCACAAAACCAAGAGUUAAGAAUGAGGUGUUUCAUCUAUUCUAUGAGACGACACUCAAGUCUCCUUCCCACUUCAAAAAAACUGCUUAAAAGAAUUCAACCUCCAUCAGAGGGCUGAAAGAGAGCCAGGAGAUGCGACAUGCAGUGUGGCUCUGGAAAAGAGCACCAGAAGAAUGCUUCUACACAAACACCAGUUCUGCCAAGAACCAUCUGGACGCCCAUAAAAAAUUCUGACGUUAAUCAAGA